GCCGCAGCGCUCCUCAGGGGUGGCGGGAAGGAGCUGUGGGGACGCGGUGUGCGCUGCCAUGGCCCUGCCCGGCUGGAACCCACAGCCAUCUUUGGGCUGGAGGCCCCGGCAGCACUGCUGCCCGCCUGGCCUGGUGGGACACCAUGUAUAGGCUGGGGGUGUGAGGUCCCUCUCCAAAGGAAAAGGCUCACCUUGCUCAGGUAUGAUGGAGAUACUCCAUGCUACUGCCCUACACCUCUGCUGGCUAGCUGGAUGCUUACAUGUCUCGAAAUGAAUGAGCAUCAAAUUCUACUACAGCUGGUCCAGAACUGUGGAGCCAGCAUA
rnacentral:lncRNA from 1 species